UUGAUUUGUAGUUUUAAAGAUACGUGAUUUAGUUCAAUACCAAUUAAUAAUCAAGAAGUAUGAAGUAGAAAUGAAAGCAAAAAGUAAAUCAAACCAAUUUUACUCAGCAGCAAUGGCCUCGAGCUCAGUGACCUCGAGGUACGCUUGGAAUAAUAAGAACAAUUAAAUAAUAAAAGUAAAGUAAGAACAAUAGAGCUAAAGGACAAUGCUGAUGAACGUUAGGCGAAAAAGGUAGAGAGUAUGUUCUUUGCUCGGUGAUAAGAUGAUUUUACAAAUGAUUGGGGUCCCCUUUAUAUAAUAGGGGAACCCUAAAUAAGGAAUAUUUCUAUUUACAGUAGGGAAUAUUCUUGAUACAGUUGUCUAACCGCCUAGUACGGAAUCGUACAAUCUUAUUCCGGGAUUUGUGCCACAAUUAUGGGGACGUGGGAGGAAUCUAGCUCAUUCUGUUACAAAUUCCUAACUGUACUAUUCCGGGGUCGAGUAUACUCGGGCAUGGUAUUCCUCGUUCUCCUAUCUCCGGGCAUUGCACUCUAUCUUCGAGCUUGCCUCUGGUCCACCGGUCUCGAACUCGACCUUGCCUGAACUUGGGCCUAUGACGGAUCCUCGAUCCUAUAAAUCGGAGGCCUCUGAUUUUGACCGUAUGCAGAUUGUCCCUUCAAUUCGUAGAAUAAGAUGAUAAGAAACGAUUAGAACUUCGAUUUUCGGGGUCCAUAAUGAUGACGUCAUCCCUGUGACACAGGUGCUCGAAGUAAAUGAAACGUUCCGUCGGUUCGCUUCCGCAAAACAUUAAAUGUAUGCCAGCACUGGUCGGCCACUAGCGCCGCCAAACCGUCGUCGCUCUUCUACAAAUAUGAGGCUAUAUCCUUGAGCAAAGAACUCUACUCUUUCAUUAUAUCUUUCCCUUCCUCUUCUCUUUCUCUAAUCGUCUGUUUCCACCGCCUCCUUGAGCGCCGGAAAACGUCAGGUCCUUGUAUAAACACCACAUUCUGACACGUUCUGUAUCCUUUAGUUUGAAAUCAUGGCUAAAACAUCCAAAACGGUCCCCAAAAAAGAUAAAGCGUCGACUUCUUCUACCUCUCAGCCGGCAAAACCGGUGGUGCCGCCGACUCUUGAAGAAAUCACCCCUAGCCCUUGUGUGAUUAAGAAGGACUUUAGCAUUGCAAAUCCCCCCGAUGUCCUAGGUCGAUGCGAGCAUGCAUCUCAAUAUCUUAGUUUGAUAUCGGAGAAGCAUCUUAAAAAUGUGAAGAAGGACUGUGGUUGGGGAGAUGAGGUCGUGGUUCAGAUCCCAAGCCCCGGGGAAACCAUUACUACCCACGUGGAGGGGGUUUUAAGUGUUUACACUUACCCCUUCACACUUGGUCCGCUCCAUCCGGUGGUGAUCAACUUCUGCAAAAUAUACGAAGUCACCCUCGGCCAGAUUCACCCCUCUUUUUGGCGUAUCGUGAUCAUGCUUCGCUACUUUUCCGAAAAGGCCGAGGGGAUGGAAUUCACACUCAGCCAGCUGAUUCGAUUGUAUCGGCCCCAGCUAUUUCCAGGGCUUAUCAAGCUGCAAUGUCGAACAACGAAAGCCUUCUUUGCUAGUUCCGAUGAAACCCAAGAUCGAGGUUGGAUGAGCCGGUUCGUUAGAGUAAGAACUUUGGAUGUCAUCCCCAGGGAUAAAAUGUCAUUCCUGGAGAGGUGGAACUUUAAUCCCACUGCCUGGGCGCCCCACGCGGUGUUAGACCUCGAGGAUUGGGUCCGAAAGUUAGCUGCCACCUCCUCCUAGGAUGAGCGCAAGUGGUGUGAAUUAUCGAUGGUCCAGUGGGAGGCCAAGAAUCAUGGCCUUGGAGAUGCAUCCAAGAUAAGGCCGGCUCCGCCCGGGGAAAAGACCAAGCCUUCGAUUACGAAAUCGGGGAAGGAAAACAAAAGGAAGAGGGUCUCGAAGCCUGAAGACCCUCAAGAUAAGAAAACCCUUGCUCGAAGGCUACGGAAGAGAUUUCCUCACGAGGACACAGAUUCGGCCCAGGAUUCCCCGGAUGACGGAGAAAAUAAUGGUGAAGAGUCGGUGUUGGUGCCUCGAACUAGGAAACCAAUCGAGGCAUCCAUGCUCUCCGAACUAGAGUCCUCAUCCCGAGGUGAAGGAACCCCAAAGAAAGAUGCGGGCAAGGCCCCCGUGUCCUCGGAGGUUGAGAUCGUUCCUCCGCCUUCAACAAAUAUGCCGGAAGGGGCAAAUGCGGAGACCCCCGAAGCUAACGAGAAUGCCCCGAGUGACGAGCUCGGGGCCAUGACAAUAGGUCACUCCCUUUCUUUGCCAACUUAUUUGUCACGACCCAAUUUAGGAUUGUGA